AAUCCUUACAUACUCCUUGUGGACCAACCCAUUUCAUUUAAGUAAGCCUAAUUCUUCUAUUUGAACCCUUAUGGGUCAAAGAUUUCAUGACUAAAGUCCAUUUGUUUAUUAAGUCCAACCCUAAUCUUUAUUCCCUACUCUAUAAAUACCUCUCAAUACCCAAAAUUUUCCCACACAAGAGAUCAAAAAUUAGAUUUUGGGGUAAGUAAUCUUUUCUUUUUUUUUUUCUUUCUUUUCUUUUCUCCUUUUUCUUAUUCUUUUCUUUCCUUGCAUGCUGCUUUGGUUCAUGCGUGAAUGCAUGGCCAAUUGCUGCUUUCAUGUUUUGCAGCAACCUCACGCCACUCCCCAGCCAGCCGGCCACCUCCCGCCGGCGACCCACGUCGGCAACCAUCCCCACCGAGACUUUAAGUUGAGUAAUUUCUAGCAUUGUGGCUAGUUGGAAAGAUGAUUUAAUUAAGAUUAAUCACAGGUUUUUGCAUAAACUGACUUGCAUCAGGGUGAUGGGAUUUGAGUGGAGCGUUGGCUGAUUACUUAGCUUAAUUUAUACCAUAGAUUAAAUUUUAUUUUGGUUCUAAUUCCAUUUACUUCCUAUUUUACUGGAUUUUGAAUAAGGGCCGUUAUGGUUCCAACUUGUAAGACUAAAUUGAGUUUUGACUUUUAGUUUUGAAAUUUAUA